GGGCCCAUAGCUCAGUCGGUAGAGCAACUGACUUUUAAUCCGUAGGUCGCGCGUUCGAGCCGCGCUGGGCUCACCA
rnacentral:tRNA from 1 species